CCCUUAGAUGUCCGGGGCCGCACGCGCGCUACACUGAAGGAAUCAGCGUGGCUUUCUCCCUGACCCGAAAGGGUUGGGAAACCCGUUGAAUCUCCUUCGUGAUAGGGAUUGGGGCUUGAAAUUGUUCCCCAAGAACGAGGAAUUCCCAGUAAGCGCGAGUCAUAAGCUCGCGUUGAUUACGUCCCUGCCCUUUGUACACACCGCCCGUCGCUACUACCGAUUGAACGGUUUAGUGAGGGCCUCGGAUUGGUCUCGGCCCGCUCUUUACCGGGCGGCGCCGUUGGUCGAGAAGACGCUCGAACUUGAUCGUUUAGAGGAAGUAAAAGUCGUAACA
rnacentral:rRNA from 1 species